rnacentral:rRNA from 1 species
GAAUCGCUAGUAAUCGCGGAUCAGCUUGCCGCGGUGAAUACGUUCCCGGGUCUUGUACACACCGCCCGUCACACCAUGGGAGCGGGUUCUGCCAGAAGUGGUUAGCCUAACCGCAAGGGGGGCGAUCACCACGGCAGGGUUCGUGACUGGGGUGAAGUCGUAACAAGGUAGCCGUAUCGGAAGGUGCGGCUGGAUCACCUCCUUUCUAG